UCAUUUUUGACAGCUGCGUUUUCUGUGAUAAGCUUUGGCUGAAGGUUUGUUUCAUUCCAAAAAUUCAUUUUGUCAUGUUCAUACCAUUAAAAUUGUAUUUUGAAAGGUCAUAAGACUAUACAUAUUCUGGUUAUUCAUGGAUGUUUAAACCCUUGGUUGAUUUUACUUUUGUAUCUUUUGCAGGCGUGGACUUUGAGAUUUGACAUGCACUACUAAUAAAUAUUUUUCAAUUUUAUGGACUCCCAAGAAUCUAUGUUGUAAGAAGAAUGCAUGGAAGUCAAUUUGUUCUCCUUAAGUAGGAUUCCCACAAUGCAUUGUUCUUAAAGAAGGUUAUAAUCAAAGAUGAUCCUCAAGAUGAUGAAAGUGGUGAAGAUUUGAAAUUACUGAAGACAACUAUACUAUGUUAAUUUAAAAAUUUAUAGUACUUGAAUUGAUUUUUAACAUGUGUUUUUACAUAAAAGAGAUUCUAUUAUGUUUCAUAUUAUUAACUAAUGUUUUCUAUACAUAAUAGAGAUUAUAUAACAUUUCAUAUUACUAAUUAGUAUUUUUGAAUAA